rnacentral:rRNA from 1 species
GUGCCAGCAGCCGCGGUAAGACGAACCGAGCGAACGUUAUUCGGAAUCACUGGGCUUAAAGGGCGCGUAGGCGGGCGGCCAAGUCAGGGGUGAAAGCCCCCAGCUCAACUGGGGAAGUGCCUCUGAUACUGGCCGUCUCGAGCGAGGUAGGGGCGUGCGGAACUUCCGGUGGAGCGGUGAAAUGCGUAGAUAUCGGAAGGAACACCGGUGGCGAAAGCGGCGCGCUGGACCUCUUCUGACGCUGAGGCGCGAAAGCCAGGGGAGCAAACGGGAUUAGAUACCCCAGUAGUCC